GACAGAGGUCCCGAGCGUUAGGCGGAAUCACUGGGCUUAAAGCGUGUGUAGGCGGCGGCCUAAGUACCUUGUGAAAUCCCACGGCUCACCCGUGGAACUGCUCGGUAUACUGGGUCGCUUGAGCCACUUAGGGGCUACCGGAACAAAUGGUGGAGCGGUGAAAUGCGUAGAUAUCGUAAGGAAGACCAGUGGCGAAGGCGGGUCUCUGGACAGUUCCUGACGCUGAGGCACGAAGGCCAGGGGAGCAAACGGG
rnacentral:rRNA from 1 species